UGAAGGUCCAUCCUCAUUGGCUAAGUGAUUUGCAUUAUGUAAACAUAGAAAAAUUUCAUUACUGCCUUGUAGGAACUUAAAUUAGAAGAAAAACCAAACUCACAGAAUGCAGCGGCGGCAGCAGUAGCAGAAUAAUAGUAUUCUGAAAAAGGGUUGGACUUACUGCCACAAAAUUCUGAUUAUAGACUUGGCAGUCACUCAUUCUCUGCGUCCAGCCUUCAGCUUUUGGAGGCUGCUUUCUUCAUUUGCAAAAUGGAGACUAGAAAACAACAAAACAAGACAAAACAAACAACAAACAAAAAACCACUAAUGCAUGAGGUCUGAAAAACAAAGGUGGGAUUGCUGAGAGUGAAGGGAAGAAUAAUGAGCCAAGGAGUUCAAGACCAGCCUGGGCAACAUGGUGAAAUGCUGCCUCUAUGUAAAAUUUAAAAAGUAAGCUGGACAUGGUGGCAUGCACCUGUUAUUCAGUAGGCUGAGGUGGAAGGAUAGAUUGAGCCUGAAGGCUGCAGUAAGCCAUAAUUGUGCCACUGUACUCCAGCCUGAGUGACAGAACAAGACCCUGUCUAAAAAAAGAAAGAAAAAGAAAAGGUUAGCACUGUUGGGGAUUAGCCAGGUGUCACCAAAGAUCUGAUUUAUAAUUAAACUAUACUUGCUUGCUUCUUUGUCACUGCGAUGACAGUUCCUCUCAGCAUGUUUACUCGUCUUCAGGGAGAAGGAAGUAAAGAGGCUCCAAGAGAUAUUAAUCUGUUAGAGUCCAAGAGGUUUUUUGUUUUUGUUUAAUCUCACAGGAAUGCAAGCUUUAACCACGAGUUUGGGAAUCAUAAAACUUGUGGCCG
rnacentral:lncRNA from 1 species